rnacentral:rRNA from 1 species
AUGAACGCUAGCUACAGGCUUAACACAUGCAAGUCGAGGGGCAGCAUGGUCUUAGCUUGCUAAGGCCGAUGGCGACCGGCGCACGGGUGAGUAACACGUAUCCAACCUGCCGUCUACUCUUGGACAGCCUUCUGAAAGGAAGAUUAAUACAAGAUGGCAUCAUGAGUCCGCAUGUUCACAUGAUUAAAGGUAUUCCGGUAGACGAUGGGGAUGCGUUCCAUUAGAUAGUAGGCGGGGUAACGGCCCACCUAGUCUUCGAUGGAUAGGGGUUCUGAGAGGAAGGUCCCCCACAUUGGAACUGAGACACGGUCCAAACUCCUACGGGAGGCAGCAGUGAGGAAUAUUGGUCAAUGGGCGAGAGCCUGAACCAGCCAAGUAGCGUGAAGGAUGACUGCCCUAUGGGUUGUAAACUUCUUUUAUAAAGGAAUAAAGUCGGGUAUGCAUACCCGUUUGCAUGUACUUUAUGAAUAAGGAUCGGCUAACUCCGUGCCAGCAGCCGCGGUAAUACGGAGGAUCCGAGCGUUAUCCGGAUUUAUUGGGUUUAAAGGGAGCGUAGAUGGAUGUUUAAGUCAGUUGUGAAAGUUUGCGGCUCAACCGUAAAAUUGCAGUUGAUACUGGAUAUCUUGAGUGCAGUUGAGGCAGGCGGAAUUCGUGGUGUAGCGGUGAAAUGCUUAGAUAUCACGAAGAACUCCGAUUGCGAAGGCAGCCUGCUAAGCUGCAACUGACAUUGAGGCUCGAAAGUGUGGGUAUCAAACAGGAUUAGAUACCCUGGUAGUCCACACGGUAAACGAUGAAUACUCGCUGUUUGCGAUAUACAGCAAGCGGCCAAGCGAAAGCGUUAAGUAUUCCACCUGGGGAGUACGCCGGCAACAGUGAAACUCAAAGGAAUUGACGGGGGCCCGCACAAGCGGAGGAACAUGUGGUUUAAUUCGAUGAUACGCGAGGAACCUUACCCGGGCUUAAAUUGCAGAUGAAUUACGGUGAAAGCCGUAAGCCGCAAGGCAUCUGUGAAGGUGCUGCAUGGUUGUCGUCAGCUCGUGCCGUGAGGUGUCGGCUUAAGUGCCAUAACGAGCGCAACCCUUGUUGUCAGUUACUAACAGGUUCCGCUGAGGACUCUGACAAGACUGCCAUCGUAAGAUGUGAGGAAGGUGGGGAUGACGUCAAAUCAGCACGGCCCUUACGUCCGGGGCUACACACGUGUUACAAUGGGGGGUACAGAGGGCCGCUACCACGCGAGUGGAUGCCAAUCCCAAAAACCUCUCUCAGUUCGGACUGGAGUCUGCAACCCGACUCCACGAAGCUGGAUUCGCUAGUAAUCGCGCAUCAGCCACGGCGCGGUGAAUACGUUCCCGGGCCUUGUACACACCGCCCGUCAAGCCAUGGGAGCCGGGGGUACCUGAAGUGCGUAACCGCGAGGAGCGCCCUAGGGUAAAACUGGUGACUGGGGCU